CUUAAAAAUACCCUGACAUGCAUAUAAAGACUGCGUUCCAAAGGUUAAUGCUCCUUAAUCCUGAAGGGAGUGGACAGAUCCUGCAUGACCCACGGUGCCUUCUCACUUCCUGCUGGAGUUAUUGCAAAAGGAAUCCAGGAGACAAUGGGGCUGCUGAACACUUUCCGGAAUCGGGGCAUGCCUGCUAUGGCCACACAAGACCAGCUGCUCUACAAAGGAGCCCGUGAGCCAAAGAGGAAAACUUUGAAGAUAAAUAUUGCCAUAUGUGAAGAGAAAAAGAAAAAAAUCCCAACAAACCUUAAUUGCACGGAGCAUCGUUUUCCAAUGCUAUUUGCCGUGGGAAUAAAGGAUUUCUUGUUGUGACCCAUG
rnacentral:lncRNA from 1 species